UACAGAGGUCUCAAGCGUUGUUCGGAUUCAUUGGGCGUAAAGGGUGUGUAGGUGGCGCCGUAAGUCGGGUGUGAAAUUUCGGAGCUUAACUCCGAAACUGCAUUGGAUACUGCCUUGCUCGAGUACUGGAGAGGGAACUGGAAUUUACGGUGUAGCAGUGAAAUGCGUAGAGAUCGUAAGGAAGGCCAGUGGCGAAGGCGAGUUCCUGGACAGUUACUGACGCUGAGGCACGAAGGCCAGGGGAGCAAACAGG
rnacentral:rRNA from 1 species